CCGGGAAACCGGAGCUAAUACCGGAUAGUUCCUUGAACCGCAUGGUUCAAGGAUGAAAGACGGUUUCGGCUGUCACUUACAGAUGGACCCGCGGCGCAUUAGCUAGUUGGUGGGGUAAUGGCUCACCAGGCGACGAUGCGUAGCCGACCUGAGAGGGUGAUCGGCCACACUGGGACUGAGACACGGCCCAGACUCCUACGGGAGGCAGCAGUAGGGAAUCUUCCGCAAUGGACGAAAGUCUGACGGAGCAACGCGCGUGAGUGAUGAAGGUUUUCGGAUCGUAAAGCUCUGUUGUUAGGGAAGAACAAGUGCGAGAGUAACUGCUCGCACCUUGACGGUACCUAACCAGAAAGCCACGGCUAACUACGUGCCAGCAGCCGCGUAAUACGUAGGUGGCAAGCGUUGUCCGGAAUUAUUGGGCGUAAAGGGCUCGCAGGCGGUUUCUUAAGUCUGAUGUGAAAGCCCCCGGCUCAACCGGGGAGGGUCAUUGGAAACUGGGAAACUUGAGGCAGAAGAGGAGAGUGGAAUUCCACGUGUAGCGGUGAAAUGCGUAGAGAUGUGGAGGAACACCAGUGGCGAAGGCGACUCUCUGGUCUGUAACUGACGCUGAGGAGCGAAAGCGUGGGGAGCGAACAGGUUAGAUACCCUGGUAGUCCACGCCGUAAACGAUGAGUGCUAAGUGUUAGGGGGUUUCCGCCCCUUAGUGCUGCAGCUAACGCAUAAGCACUCCGCCUGGGGAGUACGGUCGCAAGACUGAAACUCAAGGAAUUGACGGGGGCCCGCACAAGCGGUGGAGCAUGUGGUUUAAUUCGAAGCAACGCGAAGAACCUUACCAGGUCUUGACAUCCUCUGACAACCCUAGAGAUAGGGCUUUCCCUUCGGGGACAGAGUACAGGUGGUGCAUGGUUGUCGUCAGCUCGUGUCGUGAGAUGUUGGGUUAAGUCCCGCAACGAGCGCAACCCUUGAUCUUAGUUGCCAGCAUUCAGUUGGGCACUCUAAGGUGACUGCCGGUGACAAACGGAGGAAGGUGGGGAUGACGUCAAAUCAUCAUGCCCCUUAUGACCUGGGCUACACACGUGC
rnacentral:rRNA from 1 species